AUUGAACGCUGGCGGCAGGCCUAACACAUGCAAGUCGAGCGGAGCGGCGGACGGGUGAGUAAUGCCUAGGAAUCUGCCUGGGAGUGGGGGAUAACGUCCGGAAAAGGGCGCUAAUAACGCAUACUAGCAGAGGAGCCUAGGGUGGAUUAGCUAGUUGGAGGGGUAAAGGCCUACCAAGGCGACGAUCCGUAACUGGUCUGAGAGGAUGAGCAGUCACACUGGAACUGAGACACGGUCCAGACUCCUACGGUAGGCAGCAGUGGGGAAUAUUCGACAAUUGUCGAAAGCCUGAUCCAGCCAUGCCGCGUGUGGGAAGAAGGUCUUCGGAUUGUAAAGCUCUUUAAGUUGGGAGGCGUUACCUACACAAUAAGCACCGGCUAACUUCGUGCCAGCAGCCGCGGUAAUGC
rnacentral:rRNA from 1 species